CAACAACAGCCAGUCAGACACCUCGGGAGUUUUCUAGCCGAAACAAAACCGAAACAUUAGAGCUCUUGAGACGCUUUCAGUGUAUAUUAUUCACUGUGUUUUAAAACAAAUUUCGGUCGUAUAGAUAGUUACACCCACUUUCCAUUUAAUUUAAUAUGUACGUUACUAAUAAGCAAGCUGAAUAGCUAAAAUAGCCUAGCACUAGGCUAGUCGCACAUGUUAACUAGCUAUUUUGUUUAUUUCACCAGGUAGUUAGCUAACAUCCCCGAACAUGAGCUCACUAAACUUCUCUCCUCCUGUUAAAGAAGAGGAGGAUGUCUGCUGGACAGAGAAAGAGGGUCUGUGGCUGAACCAUGUCGUGAAAGAGGAGGAAGAAGCUCUGGUCAAAGAGGAGGAGGAAGAGGAGGCUGUUACAAUACAAAAACAGGAUGCAGUGUUUGGAGUGAAGGAGGAGGAGGGAGAGAUAACUGAGAGAACUCCGGUGCGCUCUGCAGUGCGUUCCUGUCCGCUUUGCCCUAAGGUUGUGGUCGGCUUCAGUCAGCACCUGAGGCACACGCACAAUGUUAGGAACACGGAGGAGAGGAUCCUCCUUUGUAAUUGGCAGUCGGGCCGUGUCAACAUCAGGCAGGAGCCGUGCCCAGUGACAGGAUGCUCCACCCAUGCCAGCCGGCUGGACCGGCACAUGGAGUCACACACAGAGCUCGACCGAUCGCAGAGGAGACGGGCUUUAGAGGAACUCAGGAGACGGCUGACCAUGGAGCGGCUGGCCACGUUGAGGGCGUCCAACCCUGUCGUCCCGCUGGCCACCCAUUUGGAUAUUGUGGAGUGGGAAACAAAGCAGGAAGAGGAGGACAACUCUUUAGAUUCACUGCUGUCUCCUUUGGAAGAGGAGGAGGAGGACGUGAGCUGCGGAGAUUAUUCCUGCCACUGCCAGGCGCCCAUCCUGAGGCUACGGAAAGCUUUGCAAGAGCGCGAUGAGGCCCUGACCAAGAGAAGUGCGAUCAUCCAAUCCGUUAGAGAGGACAACCUGAAGCUGACCUCGGAACUGAAUAGAGCGAGGAAGAGGUAUCAGCUACUGAAAAGGCAGAAGACGACGAGUGUCAGGGCGAGGUCAGCGAACGCGAGGUCGGGGAAGACGAGGUCAGCGAAGAGGUCCAGAUUUCAGACCGAGCCGUCUCGUCCUGCGUCAGACACAGAACAAGAGGAGCUACAGCAGGACCAAGUCGUAGGUUCAGGAGCCCAGAUAGAGGAGGCCACGGCGCUCGGAUCUAGCAGCCAAACUCCCUUCCCGGGCUCUGCUCUGAGUGUGUUUAUAGAGGGGUUCAGGAAGAUCUGUGAAGGCCCCAGUCCAAACAAUAAGCUGAAGCAAAAUUGUGCCGCGAAGCUCAAGAGGGUGCAGCAAUUUUUGAAGUUCAUGGCGAAGGAUGAGAAAUAUCCAUCCACUCUCAGUUUCCUGACAGACCAGGACAACAUGAGGAGAUGGUUUCAGACCCUUCAGCAGAACAAGGCCGUCGCCACGGUCAACAUCUACACCUCGACUAUCGGUGCAUUUCUCCAAUACUCCGAGGAGACCCCUCCGCCUGGCUGCCGGCUGACCAAAAACCACUGGAAGGAGAUCAACCGGGCAAUGAAGGAGAUCAACAAGUCCGUGAAAGGAGCCGUCUCCAACAAGGAAGGCAAGGGGGUGUCUACAAAGAGCCUGCUGGAGUGCCAGUCUCUUGCCAAGGUCAAGAUCCCCCAAGUGCUGAAAACCUUGGAAGAAACAAUGACACAGAAGAACCAGAACCGGUUUUACGGAUUCCUGUGUGCCUAUUUCACCUCCAUGUACGGCCACAGCCCGGGCCUUUAUAGAAACAUGAUGGUGAAGGAGGUGGAGGACGUCCAGCGUGGCCUGUCUGGGACCUGUCUGAUCAACGUGGGAAACGCAAAACAAAUGCAAACCAGGAUCCAGAUGUCGCUGACCAAAGAGGAGUACUCUUGGUUUUCAGACUUCCUGAAAUUUAAGCAAUGCCUGCCAGGAGGAAAGAAAGCCCAGUACUUCUUUUUCAAUUCCACCAACACUGAGAUCAAGAACCUGCCCAUCUACCUGAGGGAGGCGUGGAAGGAGAUGGGCCUGCCUGGAAGGCCUUCCUUCACUGACCUGCGGACUUCCAUCUUCAGUCAUGUCAGUCAAAUGGGAUAUAAAUGAAAAGAUCCUACUCCAAUGGCUGACCCGAAAACCAUCAAUGACUAAAAUAUCAUCUUUUAUCUGUGUGUCUUAUUUGUGUUCUUACAGGUUAAAAACGUUCUCCCGAAUGCCGACGGGGAAACGUUGGCCGACUUCGUGCGCCACGACAGCCGGAUGGAAGCCAAACGUUACGCGAUGAAUCCUUCCAAAGCCGGUGAAACCAGCGCCUUCCUUGAGACGGCGUUGAAGGGAGAAGAUACCGCACCACGGGCGCCGCAGAGAACCAGCCAUCCACCUCCAGAAAGCAGAAGACGAGAGAGGACGUCUCCGAGCGGAGCACCACCCCUGAAGAGACCGAGGUGCAGUACUAGGAGUCUGACACGUCCCCCGGGGAGGAGGAGCAGGAACGGACGGCCAGACAAACUCUAGGAAAACAAGAUAUUCAGAGACAACGCAUUAGAUUACACUUGUACACCAUUUAACACUCAAGAACAAACAGAUACUCGGGCAUGGUGGUCUCCUCCAACUGAAUGUCGCCGCUCGCCUCCCACUGUGUCAGGUUAUAAAGCCCCAAACAGACUCCAGGAGAAAGAAGGACGAGGAAAGAGGGGGGGUUGACCUCUGACAGUCAGUUUGAAGAGGGGAGCUGUCUUCUGACAGUCAGGUGGAAGAGGGGGGGUUGACCUCUGACAGUCAGGUGGAAGAGGGGGGUUGACCUCUGACAGUCAGGUGGAAGGAGGGGAGCUGUCUUCUGACAGUCAGGUGGAAGAGGGGGGUUGACCUCUGACAGUCAGUUUGAAGAGGGGAGCUGUCUUCUGACAGUCAGGUGGAAGGAGGGGAGCUGUCUUCUGACAGUCAGGUGGAAGGAGGGGAGCUGUCUUCUGAAGAAUGUUCGACUUUCUCACAUGUAUACACACCACUCAGACACACUCAGACAGACACACCACUCAGACACACUCAGACAGACACACCACUCAGACACACUCAGACAGACACACCACUCAGACACACCACACUCACACACCACACUCAGACACACCACUCAGACACACUCAGACAGACACACCACUCAGACACACUCAGACAGACACACCACUCAGGCACACUCAGACACCACACUCAUACCACACAGACACACCACUCAGACACACUCAGACAGACACACCACUAAGGCACACUCAGACAGACACACCACUCAGGCACACUCAGACAGACACACCACUCAGACACACCACUCAGACACACCACUCAGACACCCCACACAGACACACUCAGACAGACACACCACUCAGACACAGACACACUCAGACACACUCAGACACACCACACUCAGACAGACACACCACUCAGACACACCACACAGACACACUCAGACAGACACACCACUCAGACACACUCAGACAGACACACCACUCAGACACACCACUCAGACACAGACACACUCAGACACACCACUCAGACACACUCAGACAGACACACCACUCAGACACACCACACUCAGACACACCACACUCAGACAGACACACCACUCAGACACACCACACAGACACACUCAGACAGACACACCACUCAGACACACUCAGACAGACACACCACUCAGGCACACUCAGACAGACACACCACUCAGACACCCCACACAGACACCCCACACAGACACACUCAGACAGACACACUCAGACAGAUACACCACUCAGACACACCACUCAGACACACCACACUCAGACACACCACUCAGACACACUCAGACAGACACACCACUCAGACACACCACUCAGACACACCACUCAGACACACCACUCAGACACCCCACACAGACACACUCAGACAGACACACCACUCAGACACACCACUCAGACACAGACACACUCAGACACACCACACUCAGACACACCACACUCAGACAGACACACCACUCAGACACACCACACAGACACACUCAGACAGACACACCACUCAGACACACUCAGACAGACACACCACUCAGGCACACUACUCAGACACCCCACACAGACACACUCAGACAGACACACUCAGACAGAUACACCACUCAGACACACCACUCAGACACACCACACUCAGACACACCACUCAGACACACUCAGACAGACACACCACUCAGACACACCACACUCAGACACACUACACUCAGACACACCACACUCAGACACACCACACUCAGACACACCACACUCAGACACACCACACUCAGACACACCACUCAGACACACUUAGACAGACACACCACUCAGGCACACUCAGACACACCACUCAGACACACCACUCAGACUCAGACACACCACUCAGACACACCACUCAGACAAACAUAUUAUUAAAAGUCAUUUAAUGUCAUUUCAUUUGAUUUCUCUUUUAGAUUCAAUAAAAUAUUGUUACUAGUUCUCCACUGUUGUUUUCAUUUCAGAGG
rnacentral:lncRNA from 1 species